rnacentral:rRNA from 1 species
UGCGUAGGUGGUUGUUUAAGUCCGUUGUGAAAGCCCUGGGCUCAACCUGGGAAUUGCAGUGGAUACUGGGCAACUAGAGUGUGAUAGAGGGUGGCGGAAUUCCCGGUGUAGCAGUGAAAUGCGUAGAUAUCGGGAGGAACAUCCGUGGCGAAGGCGGCCACCUGGGUCAACACUGACACUGAGGCACGAAAGCGUGGGGAGCAAACAGGAUUAGAUACCCCCGUA